CCCCCUGUCUGGAGUUCAUCAGGGCCCCCCCUGUCUGGGGGUCGACGGAAUAACGAGGAGGUUGAACCUUUCUGUCUAUCUAGCAUCAGAUCCCUUAACCUAGUUAACAUCUGAUUCCAGGACUGUGGUUAACGGGGGUCUAACCUCCACUAUGUAGACAGGAGAGUUAACAUCUGAUUCCAGGACUGUGGUUAACGGGGGUCCUAACCUCCACUAUGUAGACAGGAGUUAACAUCUGAUUCCAGGACUGUGGUUAACGGGGGUCCUAACCUCCACUAUGUAGAGACAGGAGUUAACAUCUGAUUCCAGGACUGUGGUUAACGGGGGGUCCUAACCUCCACUAUGUAGAGACAGGAGUUAACAUCUGAUUCCAGGACUGUGGUUAACGGGGGGGGUCCCUAACCUCCACUAUGUAGAGACAGGAGUUAACAUCUGAUUCCAGGACUGUGGUUAACGGGGGUCUAACCUCCACUAUGUAGAGACAGGAGUUAACAUCUGAUUCCAGGACUGUGGUUACUGGGCUUCACAGACAACAUUAUGACACUCCUUCCUGUCUGAAAGCGUCCCAUGUUCAGAUUUCUGUAUUAUUCCAAUGUUCUCACUCUCAUCUUUAUUUACACCUUAAUAUAUCUUGGGAGCUGCUUGUGUGCGGAUGGUAAUGCUAACCUGUUUCACAAUAUAAUUUAUAUCAUUUGUAUUAUUGUAACAUUAUAUUAUAUAUUGUGGUCUGUUUAUUCUGUCAUUCCUUCCUGGGUUUUAUAGGAUCAGUGUGGGGAGGGAGGGGCAUAUUUACACCAGUCUAAAACCCGCG
rnacentral:lncRNA from 1 species